AGAGUUUGAUCMUGGCUCAGAGUGAACGCUGGCGGCGUGCUUAACACAUGCAAAGUCGAACGGAGUAAAAGUAGCUUGCUAUUUUACUUAGUGGCGCACGGGUGAGUAAUGUAUAGCUAACCUGCCCUUUAGUGGGGGACAACAGUUGGAAACGACUGCUAAUACCCCAUACUCCUUCUUAUCAUAAGGUAAGUUGGGAAAGAUUUAUUGCUAAAGGAUGGGGCUUUAUGGUAUCAGCUAGUUGGUGGGGUAAUGGCCUACCAAGGCGAUGACGCCUACCUGGUCUGAGAGGAUGAUCAGGCACACUGGAACUGAGACACGGUCCAGACUCCUACGGGAGGCAGCAGUGGGGAAUAUUGCACAAUGGGGGAAACCCUGAUGCAGCAACGCCGCGUGGAGGAUGACGCAUUUCGGUGUGUAAACUCCUUUUUAUAAGGGGAAGAUAAUGACGGUACCUUAUGAAUAAGCACCGGCUAACUCCGUGCCAGCMGCCGCGGUAAUA
rnacentral:rRNA from 1 species